UUAGACCACACCCGCUUUGACUGUCAGACUCAUCUGCAGUGCUUGUGCCACUAGUGAGAUGCGCCUAAUGGGGGACUUCAUCCCCCACCUCACCCUGGUGCCCAACAAUUCAGAGACAGCACCAUCAGCCCAGAUGGGGGUUGUGAGCAAAGUCUGAGAUGGUCAGAAGGAAAGGAGAACCUGGGAGGUGGCGAGUGUCCACUGCAGCACCGCUCACUGCUCUAGUCUCAGGACAGCCUGCUCUGUUAAAGCACCUGGUCCUUCUUCCUGAAGACUUCAGUCCCACCUUGCAUUAUGUUUUGUUCUGUGUAUGUGCGUGUCUGUCUCUCCUGCUAACUGCUGAGCUUGCUAAGGAAAGGAACCUCGUUUUAUUAAAUAAAUGAUAUUUAUGAGC
rnacentral:lncRNA from 1 species